rnacentral:rRNA from 1 species
AUGGCUGAGCAGCGCAAUGCGGCCAUCAUCACGAGCCCACUGCACGACGACGAUCUCCUCGAGAGGAUCCUGAUCAGCCUCCCGGGGGCGGCGUUCCUCGCCCGCGCCGUGCCCGUCUCCGACCGUUGGUGCCGCGUCAUCUCCGACGAGGGCUUCCUCAAACGCUUCCGCGUCAGCCACCCAUCGUCGCCCCUCGUCGGCGUAUUCGUGGACAACAAAAACGAGCAUGUCCCCCGCUUCCACACCGGCACCGGCACCGCCAACCCCGGCAUCGCCUCCGCGGUGCGCCGCACCGACAUCUGCCUCACCCGCCUCGACGAUGCUCUGCGGUGGCGCCUCCACGACUGCCGCAAUGGCCAGCUCCUCCUCUCCGGAUCCGACGGUUCACUGUGCAUCUAUGACCCGCUCUCCGAGCGGCGUGUGCCCAUCGGCCCGCGCACGCAUCUUGACCACGGCUGGAAGUGCCUCGGCGACUGCUUGCUUGACGGCCUUGCCCGCCAUAUGGUCUCCGUGGAGCAACGCGGCCAACAGACGCAUGCCGAGGAGUCCUUCCGCGUCAUAUCCUUGCAGUGCCAGAGCAACUCCAGAUUCAAUGUACGAGCCAUUGAGUAA